UGGUGUGAAUUGCAGAAUCCCGCGAACCAUCGAGUUUUUGAACGCAAGUUGCGCCCGAGGCCACCCGGCCGAGGGCACGCCUGCCUGGGCGUCACGCCUCGCGUCGCUCCGCCUACCUCGCCUGAGCACCCCGUGCUCUUACGGCGGCGGCCGGCGGAUGC
rnacentral:rRNA from 1 species